rnacentral:ncRNA from 1 species
UAGAGAAAAAGGCAAACCUAUCGAAAGGUAGAGACGCAAAACCAUCGGUCUAAGUUCCUUAUGGAAUAUGGCGGCAGGGUUACCUGA